ensembl:lncRNA
AAGUUUAGGGUUAGGGCCAGGGGGCUCAGGGUUAGGGUUGAGGUUAGGGUUAGUGCCAGGGGGCUCAGGGUUAGGGUUAAGGUUAGGGUUAGGGCCGGGGGGCUCAGGGUUAGGGUUAAGGUUAGGAUUAGGGUUUGGACCAAGGGGCUCAGGGCAGCAGCUGGAUGCUCGGCUGUGCCCACCAGGCAGCAGCAAUGAUCCCCCCAAGCAUCUUCUGUCAUUCAGUCACUCAAUGCAGCCCUUAGCAUGAGCCCAGGUACCACUCUGGGGUCUCAGGAACGUGAUGGCACAUCAUCCCAUGGGGCUCAGCAGGUC